rnacentral:rRNA from 1 species
AUCAGCGUCAGUAACAAAUUAAUAAUUACAACUUUCAACAACGGAUCUCUUGGUUCUGGCAUCGAUGAAGAACGCAGCGAAAUGCGAUAAGUAGUGUGAAUUGCAGAAUUCAGUGAAUCAUCGAAUCUUUGAACGCACAUUGCGCCCUUUGGUAUUC